GAUGAACGCUAGCGGCAGGCCUAAUACAUGCAAGUCGAACGGGUGGUCGCAAGACCACUAGUGGCGCACGGGUGCGUAACGCGUAACCAACCUGCCCCGAUCUGGGGGAUAGCCCGCCGAAAGGCGGAUUAAUACCGCAUAUACCCGCAGCCUGGCAUCAGGCAACGGGGAAAGAUUUAUUGGAUCGGGAUGGGGUUGCGUGACAUUAGCUAGUUGGCGGGGUAAGGGCCCACCAAGGCGACGAUGCCUAGGGGACCUGAGAGGGUGAUCCCCCACACUGGCACUGAGAUACGGGCCAGACUCCUACGGGAGGCAGCAGUAGGGAAUAUUGGGCAAUGGGCGAGAGCCUGACCCAGCCAUGCCGCGUGCCGGAUGAAGGCCUUCUGGGUUGUAAACGGCUUUUCUCAGGGAAGAAAAAGACCUUGCGAGGUACACUGACGGUACCUGAGGAAUAAGCACCGGCUAACUCCGUG
rnacentral:rRNA from 1 species